UACAGAGGUCUCAAGCGUUGUUCGGAUUCAUUGGGCGUAAAGGGUGUGUAGGUGGCGCGCUAAGUCGGGUGUGAAAUCUCGGGGCUUAACUCCGAAACUGCAUUCGAUACUGCCGUGCUUGAGGACUGGAGAGGAGACUGGAAUUUACGGUGUAGCGGUGAAAUGCGUAGAUAUCGUAAGGAAGACCAGUGGCGAAGGCGGGUCUCUGGACAGUUCCUGACGCUGAGGCACGAAGGCCAGGGGAGCAAACGGG
rnacentral:rRNA from 1 species